rnacentral:rRNA from 1 species
UACAGAGGGUGCGAGCGUUAAUCGGAAUUACUGGGCGUAAAGGGUGCGUAGGUGGUUACGUAAGUUAGAUGUGAAAGUCCUGGGCUUAACCUGGGGAUGGCGUCUAAUACUGCGAAGCUAGAGUACUGUAGAGGAAAGUGGAAUUUCCGGUGUAGCGGUGAAAUGCGUAGAUAUCGGAAGGAACAUCAGUGGCGAAGGCGACUUUCUGGACAGAUACUGACACUGAGGCACGAAAGCGUGGGGAGCAAACAGG